rnacentral:rRNA from 1 species
UACGUAGGGGCAAGCGUUGUUCGGAAUUAUUGGGCGUAAAGAGCUCGUAGGCGGUUUGUCGCGUCUGCCGUGAAAGUCCGGGGCUCAACUCCGGAUCUGCGGUGGGUACGGGCAGACUAGAGUGAUGUAGGGGAGACUGGAAAUUCCUGGUGUAGCGGUGAAAUGCGCAGAUAUCAGGAGGAACACCGAUGGCGAAGGCAGGUCUCUGGGCCGAUACUGACGUGAGGAGCGAAAGCGUGGGGAGCGAACAGG